GGGAGCCGGAGCUCCUCAGACCCGGCGGGCCCCCAGGCGCACCCUGGAGCUGCAGACCCCCGGCCCCGUCCCACGGCUAGCUGAAUCGUGAGACCCUGGCUCAGGGACGCUCAGCUGGUCAGCAGUCCUAUUGGGACCUGUGACAACUUAGGGCUUCUGGCUACCGAAACUAUCUUCAUUUCCACUUAAAAAACAAUAGGUGAAGAACAAACCCAGAAUCCCUACACUGAACUGCUAGUACUGAAGGCUCAUCAUGAUAUUGUACGAUUUCUGGUACAGUUAGAUGACUACAGAUUUGCAUCUGCUGGUGAUGAUGGAAUUGUAGUUGUGUGGAAUGCCCAGACAGGGGAAAAACUUUUAGAACUGAAUGGACACACUCAAAAGAUAACAGCUAUUAUUACAUUUCCUUCCUUGGAAUCUUGUGAAGAAAAAAAUCAACUCAUCUUGACAGCCUCUGCUGAUA
rnacentral:sRNA from 1 species